UACGUAGGGUGCGAGCGUUGUCCGGAAUUACUGGGCGUAAAGAGCUCGUAGGUGGUUUGUCGCGUCGUCUGUGAAAUUCCGGGGCUUAACCUCGGGCGUGCAGGCGAUACGGGCAAUACUUGAGUGCUGUAGGGGAGACUGGAAUUCCUGGUGUAGCGGUGGAAUGCGCAGAUAUCAGGAGGAACACCGAUGGCGAAGGCAGGUCUCUGGGCAGUAACUGACGCUGAGGAGCGAAAGCAUGGGUAGCGAACAGGAUUA
rnacentral:rRNA from 1 species